CACGAGGGACAAACACGGAACUGGAAGGCUGAGACCACAAGGACACACGCUUUCCCCUAACCUCCGGGACUCGGCGUCGCCACGGUGUUACCUUGUAGAUUCGGAACUUGCCAGAAGGCAAAGAUGAAGGAAAGACCGCCUGGCUGGAUCCAGCUGUGCCUGAAGCUCUCAAUUUUUUGUUAGAAAUUGAGAAACCUAAACUUUGAUCAAUUUAGCUGGUUUUGAUUGGUUGUUUUGCUUUGGGGAGGGGGAUUGGUUUUUAGUGUUUUUUCAACACAGUGCUCACUAUGUACCCGCACCCCCACCCCACCCCCCUUGAACUUACUAUGCAGACCAGGCUGGCCUACAUACAGUUGGCCCCCUCUGCUUCCUUAGUGCUGAAAUUAAAGUUGUGCCCCGCUAUGCCUGGCUGUUACUGGCCACUUAAAAAGCUCAUACACUUCAAUGGUCUCA